rnacentral:rRNA from 3 species
GUGGUCCCACCUGACCCCAUGCCGAACUCAGAAGUGAAACGCCGUAGCGCCGAUGGUAGUGUGGGGUCUCCCCAUGCGAGAGUAGGACACUGCCAAGCA